rnacentral:rRNA from 1 species
GACCUCGGAUCAGGUAGGAAUACCCGCUAAACUUAAGCAUAUCAAUAAGCGGAGGAAAAGAAACCAACAGGGAUUACCUCAGUAACGGCGAGUGAAGCGGUAAUAGCUCAAAUUUGAAAUCUGGCUCUUUCAGGGUCCGAGUUGUAAUUUGUAGAGGAUGUUUGGGGCACGGUUACGGUUUAAAUUUCUUGGAACAGAAUGUCAAAGAGGGUGAGAGUCCCGUCUUGAACCGAUUACUUCGUCCAUGUGAAACUCCUUCAACGAGUCGAGUUGUUUGGGAAUGCAGCUCAAAAUGGGUGGUAAAUUUCAUCUAAAGCUAAAUAUUGGCCAGAGACCGAUAGCGCACAAGUAGAGUGAUCGAAAGAUGAAAAGCACUUUGGAAAGAGAGUUAAAUAGUACGUGAAAUUGUUGAAAGGGAAGCGCUUGCAAUCAG